GACGAACGCUGGCGGCGUGCCUAAUACAUGCAAGUUGAGCGAUGAAGAUUGGUGCUUGCACCAAUUUGAAGAGCAGCGAACGGGUGAGUAACGCGUGGGGAAUCUGCCUUUGAGCGGGGGACAACAUUUGGAAACGAAUGCUAAUACCGCAUAACAACUUUAAACAUAAGUUUUAAGUUUGAAAGAUGCAAUUGCAUCACUCAAAGAUGACCCCGCGUUGUAUUAGCUAGUUGGUGAGGUAAAGGCUCACCAAGGCGAUGAUACAUAGCCGACCUGAGAGGGUGAUCGGCCACAUUGGGACUGAGACACGGCCCAAACUCCUACGGGAGGCAGCAGUAGGGGAUCUUCGGCAAUAGACGAAAGUCUGACCGAGCAACGCCGCGUGAGUGAAGAAGGUUGUCGGAUCGUAAAACUCUGUUGGUAGAGAAGAACGUUGGUGAGAGUGGAAAGCUCAUCAAGUGACGGUAACUACCCAGAAAGGGACGGCUAACUACGUG
rnacentral:rRNA from 1 species